rnacentral:rRNA from 1 species
UACGUAGGCAGCGAGCGUUGUUCGGAGUUACUGGGCGUAAAGGGCGCGUAGGCGGCAAUGAAAGUCAGAUGUGAAAUUCCGGGGCUCAACCCCGGAGCUGCAUUUGAAACUUCAUAGCUAGAGUACAGUUAGGGUAAACGGAAUUCCACGUGUAGCGGUGAAAUGCGUAGAUAUGUGGAGGAACACCGAUGGCGAAGGCAAUCCCCUGGGCCUGCACUGACGCUCAUGCACGAAAGCGUGGGGAGCAAACAGG